rnacentral:rRNA from 1 species
GUUCUACGGGGGGCAGCAGUGGGGGAUAUCGCACAAUGGGGGGAACCCUGAUGCAGCAACGCCGCGUGGGUGAAGGAGUAUUUCGGUAUGUAAAGCCCUAUCGGCAGGGAAGAAGCAAGACGGUACCUGACUAAGAAGCCCCGGCUAACUACGUGCCAGCAGCCGCGGUAAUACGUAUGGUGCAAGCGUUAUCCGGAUUUACUGGGUGUAAAGGGAGCGCAGGCGGCACGGCAAGCCUGAUGUGAAAGCCCGCGGCCCAACCGCGGGACUGCAUUGGGAACUCCCGGGCUGGAGUGCCGGCGAGG